CACGUAGGGCGCGAGCGUUGUCCGGAAUUAUUGGGCGUAAAGAGCUCGUAGGCGGCCUGUUGCGUCCGCUGUGAAAGCCCGGGGCUUAACCCCGGGUCGGCAGUGGAUACGGGCAGGCUAGAGGUAGGUAGGGGAGAAUGGAAUUCCCGGUGUAGCGGUGAAAUGCGCAGAUAUCGGGAGGAACACCGGUGGCGAAGGCGGUUCUCUGGGCCUUACCUGACGCUGAGGCGCGAAAGCGUGGGGAGCAAACGGG
rnacentral:rRNA from 1 species